UGCCAGCAGCCGCGGUAACACGUAAGUUGCAAGCGUUGUUCGGAUUCAUUGGGCGUAAAGGGCCUGUAGGCGGCAUGACAAGUCUGGUGUGAAAUAUCUCGGCUCAACCGAGAAAACGCACUGGAAAAUGUCAAGCUUGAGUAUCGGAGGGGAAGCUAGAAUUCCUGGUGUAGGGGUGAGAUCUGUAGAUAUCAGGAAGAAUACCGGUGGCGAAGGCGAGCUUCUGGCCAGAUACUGACGCUGAGAUGCGAAAGCGUGGGGAGCGAACAGGAUUAGAUA
rnacentral:rRNA from 1 species